UACGGAGGGUGCAAGCGUUAUCCGGAUUCACUGGGUUAAAGGGCGCGUAGGCGGGUACUCAAGUCCGGGGUGAAAUCCUCCAGCUCAACUGGAGAACUGCCUCGGAUACUGGGUGCCUCGAGUGUGGUAGGGGUGUGCGGAACUAUCGGUGGAGCGGUGAAAUGCGUUGAUAUCGAUAGGAACUCCGGUGGCGAAGGCGGCACACUGGACCACAACUGACGCUGAGGCGCGAAAGCCAGGGGAGCAAACGGG
rnacentral:rRNA from 1 species